GGUGAUGAGCACAAGAAGUACCCAGGCCAAGAUUUUCCCUCUCUGUGAUGCAGCAUAAUGUGUCAUUCACCAGUCUACAGCUACCUUUACUCAAGGCAGGCAAACAUUUCAGGGAUGAUGCCUUAAUUCAUGGCUUGAUCCAACUUGCAUCAAAAUCAACAGCAAUCUUUCUACUGACAACCCGUUUUGAGUGUUCUCAGAAUCCAACAAGGGGUAUGUUCAAUGGUGAAUGGCUUAAAGCCACUCAGCACCAUUAGAUCUUAUUU